GACGAACGCUGGCGGCGUGCUUAACACAUGCAAGUCGAACGGAAAGGCUCCAGCUUGCUGGAGUACUCGAGUGGCGAACGGGUGAGUAACACGUGGGUAAUCUGCCCUGCACCCUGGGAUAAGCCUGGGAAACUGGGUCUAAUACUGGAUAUGACCUUUCUCCUUAUGGGGUUUGGUGGAAAGUUUUUCGGUGUAGGAUGAGCCCGCGGCCUAUCAGCUUGUUGGUGGGGUGAUGGCCUACCAAGGCGACGACGGGUAGCCGGCCUGAGAGGGUGAUCGGCCACAUUGGGACUGAGAUACGGCCCAGACUCCUACGGGAGGCAGCAGUGGGGAAUAUUGCACAAUGGGCGGAAGCCUGAUGCAGCGACGCCGCGUGAGGGAUGACGGCCUUCGGGUUGUAAACCUCUUUCAGCAGGGACGAAGCGUAAGUGACGGUACCUGCAGAAGAAGCACCGGCUAACUACGUG
rnacentral:rRNA from 1 species